UUGCAUUGUCACUAAGUAGUUGGUUUCUUAGAACAGCAACCUGCAGAGACCUUGACAGCUCAAGUCACUACAGCACCUGCAGCUGCCACUCGCCUUCCCUAUAAUG
rnacentral:snoRNA from 1 species